GGAGGAGGCAGUUCCUGGCUGACUUGCCCUCUCUUGUCUGGGGGAACCGGGAUGCUGAGGCCAGGGGUGCAUGUGGGCAGCAGAGCUGACAGAGUCCUGGAUGCAGUGACAGCAGCCUGGAGACAACUCAGCUUCUUUUCAGAACUGUCACGCCUGUGCUGUGUGUCUGUGGAUGGUCACUGUCCUCUCUGGGCCUUUGAGAUUAUUUGGUCCAACAGAUGGGGAAAGCAAGGAUCCUACCAGCUGGGCCAUUCUUGGAUGCCGUGUUAGCAGCUCACUCUUGGCCCCGGCCUGAAGGGGGGAACAGUCCAUCCUCCAGUGGACCAGGGAUUGCGCUGUGGGUUCCGAGUCCUCAAAGACAUGGCAGCUGAAUCUCCGUGCAGCCCCUGGGCUUUGAUGACUUCUCUGAGAUUUGCUUUUGCCUCCUUGUUGCCUAAAUCCUCACUUUCUUGGCAUCAGGUCCUGGUGCAGUGAGGAGAGAGGGCCCAGGGUCUGGCUGGACCAAAGAGGGCGCUGGGCCUGGUGUUCCUUUGGUCUCUAGAGCAGCCUGCAUCCUGGGCCAGUUGCUGGGGUCUCUGGAGAACCCACGGCACCUGCCCUGAGUCCAGGCGAGGAUACAUCAGUCCAUAUUUUUGUCUUCAUUUUGUUUUGUUAAAAAAAUAGCUCUAUUCCCCUGGCCCUUCUCCUGGCCAUCUCUGAUGGCCUCAUCUUCUCCCCUGGGGCCAAGAGGACAGCGGGGAGGGGCACGGGAGGACACUGGGUGCUGGGCAGUGGUGGGUGGGGCGAGUCUUCAGGCUUCAGGCCAUACCCUCUACUGGAUGCCCCGGAAGAGGCACAUGGCAAAGAUCAUGGCGAAAAGCUCGAUGGCCAGUACCCCGAUGGCAAGGGCUCCGGCCAAGUAGACGUAGGUCUCGAAGGUGUUGAGGAUCACCGUGUAACAGCCCUGGGAGGGAGGGAUGAGAGGUCAAGCUAUGGCCAGGGUUGAGAGUCCUGGAGUCAGAGUCCAGCAUGUGGACUAGGGUUCAUGGCAGGUGUCCCCAGAGCUCUCACCCUAUCACACGGCUGCUGAGACAGGACAGUGGGGAGGGGGUGCAGGGCAGGAGACCCAGAAACAGCGACUUGGCAGCAUUGCACCAAAGACCCUCUUUGCCACCCGGCCCCUAAGGUGGGACAGAGAACUGACAGCGUGCAGGCCAUGUCUAAUGUUGCAACUACAGUGAUUGGAAUAUUGGGAAAUUUCCCAUAAAUAUUUGGACUUCCUGCUGCUCUGGAGAAAUCAGAAGAACCAGCAAGGGGAGCUAUUCCUUUUCACAUCAGCAGCUGCUGCCUUCGGGUGCCAACAGGUGGUCCCUGGGGAUCCACAGCACUCCACCCCUCUCCCCCGCACAAUUCCCUAUUGUUUCACACCCACUCGCUCUACUGUUCCUCGUGACCUGCCUGGCUGCAGAAGGUGUUUUGGUUUUCGGCCACUUCCCCAAGGAAACACAGCCCAGCCUUCAAAUCCCUGCUCGCAUGCCACCUCCUUCGGGCAGCUUUCUGAACCAGCCCAGUCCACAGGCCCUGGACUUAAUUCCCAUGAUCUUACUGCUUUCUUAAGCAAUCCUAGAGAUACAUAAACUGAGACAGAGACAGAGAUCGAGAUCGAGAUCGAGAUAGAUAGAUAGAGAUAGGAAAAAGCAAGCUAGUGCCAAGCCAGGAGCUGCCAGUCCAUGGCUGCUGCCCCCUCUGACCCCAAGCACCUCACACCUCUGUCAUUUUCAUGUUCAUAACUCUCCCCUCCCCCAUGCUGACCACAGAGACUGAUGCAUGGUACUUGCUUUGAAUGACACGUAUUUUCAAAGUGGGAGAACUUUCCUUCCUUUAUAGGAGCCUGCAUAUUCUUUGGGCCCAGGCUGAGAACCUGCAAGGGAACAAAUCCCCAGAUGGGGGUGGAGAGAUCAUGCCCAGCCCUUUUUGGGUGACGGUUGCUAUUUCUGGGCUCUGUUGAGACCGGGGAUUCUUGGGUGCUGACAUGCUCACUUCUCUUGUCCAUCGUGCAGAAGCCCAGCCCCUUUGGCCAAAAGUAGGACUGAGGCUGCACCCAGGCAGGUGGACAGCAGGGCCUGAUCUGGGACUAGUGGCCAGGUGGUGUCCUAGUACCUGCCUGGAGGCUGACCAGGAGCUGGGCAGGGAAGUCCCCCAGAAGCCCUCCCUGGAGCCCCAUGGAGCAAACAGGACAUACCCAGAUAGAAACAGACCCCACCGGCACGACGAUCUGGGUCCAUGAUACUCUCAGGACUGAGUGUGCAUGGGAAUAAUCGGGGAAGUGGUUGGCAAUGCAGAUGCCAAGACCUCGCCCCACAACACUGGAUCAGUGGGUCUGGUGUGGAGCCCAGGUAUCAGCAUUAUAGGACGAUACCCAAGGUAAUUUCUAG
rnacentral:lncRNA from 1 species